rnacentral:rRNA from 1 species
GACGAACGCUGGCGGCGUGCUUAACACAUGCAAGUCGAGCGGAGCUGCUAACGGGUGAGUAACGCGUGAGUAACUGCCCCCCUCUCUGGGAUAACAGUUGGAAACGGCUGCUAAUACCGGAUAGUUGGUGAUGUCUCGCGUCUGAUCAGCUUGUUGGUGGGGUAGGGGCCUGCCAAGGCGACGACGGGUAGCCGGCCUGGGCGGGCGGCCGGCCACAUGGGUCUGAGAUACUGCCCAAAAGCCUACGGGAGGCAGCAGGGGGGAAUAUGGCACAAUGGGGGAAACCCUGAUGCAGAAACGCCGCGUGCGGGAUGACGGCCUUCGGGUUGUAAACCGCUUUCAGCCAUGACGCGGUAGUGGCAGAAGAAGCACCGGCUAACUACGUGCCAGCCGCCGCGGUAAUAC